rnacentral:piRNA from 6 species
UCUGAAUCCAGCGAUCCGAGUUCA